rnacentral:misc_RNA from 1 species
UACGGAGGGGGUUAGCGUUGUUCGGAAUUACUGGGCGUAAAGCGCGCGUAGGCGGCUCAGAAAGUUGGGGGUGAACUCCCGGGGCUCAACCCCGGAACGGCCUCCAAAACUCCUGGUCUUGAGUUCGAGAGAGGUGAGGGGAAUUCCGAGGGUAGAGGUGAAAUUCGUAGAUAUUCGGAGGAACACCAGUGGCGAAGGCGGCUCACUGGCUCGAUACUGACGCUGAGGUGCGAAAGUGUGGGGAGCGAACAGG